GGCUGUAGAUCAGUGGCAGAGUGCUUGCCUAUAAUGCAUGAGGCACUGGGUUUGAUCCUCAGCACCA
rnacentral:tRNA from 1 species